rnacentral:rRNA from 1 species
GGGUUGUGAGGUUAAGCGACUAAGCGUACACGGUGGAUGCCCUGGCAGUCAGAGGCGAUGAAGGACGUGCUAAUCUGCGAUAAGCGUCGGUAAGGUGAUAUGAACCGUUAUAACCGGCGAUUUCCGAAUGGGGAAACCCAGUGUGAUUCGUCACACUAUCAUUAACUGAAUCCAUAGGUUAAUGAGGCGAACCGGGGGAACUGAAACAUCUAAGUACCCCGAGGAAAAGAAAUCAACCGAGAUUCCCCCAGUAGCGGCGAGCGAACGGGGAGCAGCCCAGAGCCUGAAUCAGUGUGUGUGUUAGUGGAAGCGUCUGGAAAGGCGCGCGAUACAGGGUGACAGCCCCGUACACAAAAAUGCACAUGCUGUGAGCUCGAUGAGUAGGGCGGGACACGUGGUAUCCUGUCUGAAUAUGGGGGGACCAUCCUCCAAGGCUAAAUACUCCUGACUGACCGAUAGUGAACCAGUACCGUGAGGGAAAGGCGAAAAGAACCCCGGCGAGGGGAGUGAAAAAGAACCUGAAACCGUGUACGUACAAGCAGUGGGAGCCUCUUUAUGGGGUGACUGCGUACCUUUUGUAUAAUGGGUCAGCGACUUAUAUUCUGUAGCAAGGUUAACCGAAUAGGGGAGCCGAAGGGAAACCGAGUCUUAACUGGGCGUUAAGUUGCAGGGUAUAGACCCGAAACCCGGUGAUCUAGCCAUGGGCAGGUUGAAGGUUGGGUAACACUAACUGGAGGACCGAACCGACUAAUGUUGAAAAAUUAGCGGAUGACUUGUGGCUGGGGGUGAAAGGCCAAUCAAACCGGGAGAUAGCUGGUUCUCCCCGAAAGCUAUUUAGGUAGCGCCUCGUGAAUUCAUCUCCGGGGGUAGAGCACUGUUUCGGCAAGGGGGUCAUCCCGACUUACCAACCCGAUGCAAACUGCGAAUACCGGAGAAUGUUAUCACGGGAGACACACGGCGGGUGCUAACGUCCGUCGUGAAGAGGGAAACAACCCAGACCGCCAGCUAAGGUCCCAAAGUCAUGGUUAAGUGGGAAACGAUGUGGGAAGGCCCAGACAGCCAGGAUGUUGGCUUAGAAGCAGCCAUCAUUUAAAGAAAGCGUAAUAGCUCACUGGUCGAGUCGGCCUGCGCGGAAGAUGUAACGGGGCUAAACCAUG